rnacentral:tRNA from 1 species
GGGGACGAGAUACUUGGAAGUCAGUCCGGUAAGCACAGCCGGAUCACGGCGGUUCGAUUCCGCCCGUCCCCUCCA